GUCGAGAAUCUUUCACAAUGGGGGCAACCCUGAUGGAGCGACGCCGCGUGGAGGAUAAGGUCUUCGGAUUGUAAACUCCUGUCAUGCAUGAACAAGGUUGCUUGGUUAAUACCUGGGCAAAUUGAUGGUAACGCAAGAGGAAGAGACGGCUAACUCUGUGCCAGCAGCCGCGGUAAUACAGAGGUCUCAAGCGUUGUUCGGAAUCACUGGGCGUAAAGGGUGCGUAGGUGGCGUGGUAAGUCAGAUGUGAAAGCCCGGGGCUCAACCUCGGAACUGCAUCCGAUACUGCCAUGCUAGAGUACUGGAGAGGUGACUAGAAUUCUCGGUGUAGCAGUGAAAUGCGUAGAUAUCGAGAGGAAUACCAAAGGCGUAGGCAGGUCACUGGACAGUUACUGACACUGAGGCACGAAGGCCAGGGGAGCGAACGGGAUUAGAUACCCCGGUAGUCC
rnacentral:rRNA from 1 species